UUUUAAAAAUAUUAUUUUUAAUUUUAAAUUAAAUUGAAUUAAAAAAAAUAAUUAUUUUUUAGUAAAAAUAUGAAAAAAUUAGGUUAAUUAUAGAUUAUUAGUAUUGAGAAAGAAUUAUUUUUAAAAUUUUAAAAGAAGAAAUAAUUUUGUACCUUGUGUAUCAGGGUUUAUUAAAUUAAAUUAAAAUUGUAUUUUCUCGAAUUUAAAAGAGUUAAGAUAAUAUAAUUUUAUUGUAGAAUAAAUAUUUAAAAUAUUAUUUUUGAAAUGAAACGUUAUACGUUUUUAAUAUAUCUAGUUAUUUAAGAAAAAAAUUAAAUUUUAUUAUUAUUAAUAUAUAAUUAAUUUUGUAAUGAUAUAUUAUUAAUAUUUAAUUUAUAAAGGGAUAAGCUUUUAUAAAAAUUAUUAAAAUUUUAUAUUUUUAGAAAAAAUUAUAGGAUUAGUAGUUUCUAUUAUUAGAAUAAUGUUAUAGUUGAUUUUAUUAAAUUAUUAUUUAUAUAAAUUUUAAAUAGUUUAUUAAGUUAAAAAUUAUAAUUUAAUUAAGUUUUGAAAUAAUGAUAAAAUUAGUAAAAUAUUAUAUAUAAAUAGAUAAAAAGAUAAAGGUUAAAUAAAGGAAUUCGGCAAAAGAUUUUUCACCUGUUUAUUAAAAACAUGGCUUUUUGAUAAUAAUUUAAGGUCUGACCUGCCCACUGAGGAAUUUAAAGGCCGCGGUAAAUUGACCGUGCUAAGGUAGCAUAAUCAUUAGUUUUUUAAAUGGAAGCUGGAAUGAAUGGUUGGAUGAAAAAAUGACUGUCUCUAUUUAAUUUUAAAUGAAUUUUAUUUUUAAGUAAAAAAGCUUAUAUUUAUUUAAAAGACGAGAAGACCCUAUAGAGUUUUAUAAAAUUUAAAUUUUGUAUUUUUAGGAUUAUUAUUUUAUAAUUUAAAUUUUAUUUGAUUGGGGCGAUUGAAAAAUUUAAUUAACUUUUUUUAUAAAUUUUACAUAAAUAAAUGAGAAAUUGAUCCAUAA
rnacentral:rRNA from 1 species